GGGCCGCGGUUUCCAGGCGGGCCGCGGUGCCGCCCGGCGCGGUUGCCAUGGUGCGUCCCCGGCGCGGCCGCCAUGGACGAGGAGGACACGAGAGAUUUUAAUGAGCGCUGUGCUCAGUGUUCAGAAGUGAACUGGGGUCUCACUGAUGGAGGCAGAUUUUAUUGUAGAUCUUGCCACAACGUUACUGAGAGAACCAGAGAAGUUGUAAACACUGAUUUCAUUACUAAUUCAAGAGUCCAAACAAUCUCCAAAGGUUUAAAAAAGCAGGAAAAAAAUGAUGGAGGUUGUGAAUGGUAUAUUUGUGAAGGCUUUCAGCUUGUACUCAAGAAACAAGUGGAAGCUCUAGAAGCAUUAGGAGUAUGUCCACAAAUGAAGGAUGAAAUUCUGUGCAAUUUUUGGAGGUGUUACCUUCAGAAGAGCAAACAGGCAUAUUGCAAGAGACCAGCUGGGGAAACUGUCAAAGCCUUAUCAGUAUGUGAGAGCAGUACUGAUGUGGACAGUGAUCCGGAGAGACCCAGCCUUCUGCACUUGCUGUCUCUCUCUGAAAGUGAGGGGGAUCUGCAGACCGACUGCAGCUUUGCCUCAUCAGUGAGCAAGAUCUCAGAAAGCACCUCUGUAUACUCUGGAUCAGUAGAUGGCAGCUUGUAUUUAAUGAAGAACCAAAAGGAGAAACUGAGGAUGACAAUGCCAAUGACACUUUCGUUUUGUUACUUGGCUUUACUCUGGGUGAGAGAGCCAAUUACGUUGUCCGAGCUCUUAAGGUUUGUUGUUGAAGGGCAUAUUCCAUAUAUGAAUGUUUUCCAGCAUUUUCCGGAGAAAAUGAAGUUAUGUGGACUUGAUCUUAAGAUCUUUUGUGUAGAGUCGUGGCCUGUAUAUGAAGAAGUAUUCAACAAAAUGCAUGAGCUUGCAGCAUUUUUAGACCUGCCUCGUUUUCCAGAUAUAACAGAAAGCUGCUUUCUUCAUCCAGACAUGCUGUGCAUGAAGUACUUGAUGGAAGCUAAUUUACCUGAUGAAUUGCAUAAUUGGACUUGUCGAGUGGUGAAAAAGAUUGGUAUUGGAGAAGUGGAUUUCCUGACUCUAAUGCCUGGAAAUAAGUCAACAAGAAAAGUGAAAUAUGAUGUUCUUGCUGCAGCAGUUAUUAUAGUUGUGCUCAAAUUACUGUUUUUAUUAGAUGAUCACUAUGAAUGGUUACUUUCAGAGUUUGCUGAAGAAAGAAAUAAAAAUAACACAGAAGGGGGCCGAUAUUUUGAGUUCAAGAAGUGGUAUGAGGUCGUAAAACAUUCCUUGGAUGUGGAGCAAAAGAAACUGGAUGAAGAAAAAGCCAAGUAUCUUUGGAGAUGUGAAAAGCCAUUGUUUUAUUCAGUCAAGAAUAAAUCUAAAGUUCUAAAGAGAAGACAAAUGGUUGUGAACUUACAAAAUCAGUUUGGCAAGCUGUCUGGUUCAGUGCAACGUGCUGAAAAGCCAAAUCCUUCAAGUUUUCAGUUAAGUUGGUCUGAAGAAAACACAGAUGGGAGUUGUUUUCACGGCCAUAGCCUGAAGGGAAUUUUGCAAGAAAAAUGUGGUUUACUGAGAGCCAUGAACCCAGACUACUGGCUGUGUACAGUUAAACUAUGUAAUGAGAAAUUGUGUGGUCAUCUGGCUCAUUACAAAGAAGUGGAGUUUCCCCAGAGUUACCAUUUUGUAUUAGGGUUGUUCUCUUUUCUUCUGAGGAUUCAACCCUCUUAUAUCCACGAUGAGUUUAAUCAAUCAACACUUGUGUUGGAGUACUGGUGUUUAAGAAGCUGACGAGCCCCAGGAGUGCCUGAUCUUGGGUGAAGAGUAGCUGGGCUCUCCUGGGCCAGCUGCUCCCGGCUCAGUGAGCACCAGCCGGAGGAGGCGGGCCGAACAGAUCGCUGCGGGCAUCGCCGGAGGGCAGGGUGUCUGCGCAGCCUAGCACUUCCAGUCACCUCCUCUUCGGCUUGGAAAUUACAGCUCCUUUCUAUAACUAGUUGCUGAAAGUGUCCAGUUUUGCUGUUGUCCAGACAUGAAGGGGAGGUGUUUGGCUUACAUAGAGUGAAGGGCCUGAACCUGAUUUAACCAGAGAAUGAGAAUCAGCAAAGCCCAGUGCCUGUAAGCAAUGCUAGUCUAAUUUAUUUGCCAUAGUGUAUUGCAUGGGCCUCACUGCAAUUUCAUCUUUUCUAAUCCAUUUUUAGCACAACCCCUGAAACAAUCAUGUGUAGAAGAUUUAAGAAAAUUUCAUGUAGUAUUGCAGGCAAGACAAUGAGUAUCUUGCUUUCUCAUAGCGUCUUGGAAAUCUCAGAAGUCCCUUCCUCAAAUGGCUUUUCUCCUGUUUUGGACAAAUAUGACUUCUGCUUGUUCUGAAUAAAAAAUCAGAAUAUUGUAAUAAAUUGUCAAGAGGAUAGUCUUGCAGGGCUGGGAGCAAAGGAGCCAGGAUCCACAGGGCCUUUGGGACAGGUAAAGUCUGGAUAUGAUAAAUCCCCAAAGGUGUCUGCCCCCUAGAUCAUCUGUCCUUUCCCCAUGUCAAACUGAGUAAGUUUUAUUCUUCACGGGUGGAGAAAAAUCAGGAUGACUCUGUGUAAUGAAUCUUCUAUUUUGAUCCAAAAUGGAAUGGGCUUCCCAGCACAUAUGGUUGUAGAUAUUUCCUGGCUGAGCAUGGUUUGUGUGUGGCUUGGUUACAGCCGUGUCCCUCGCUGCAUUUGUCCUUGUGCUAAAUGCAGGAUGCUUUCCAGCAUCUCCUCCACAGUUACUGGUCUUGUAGUUCCUUAUGUGUGAAGCUCUUUGCUCCUGGCCAGGUUAGAUGAGAGAGAGCAUCAAGGAGAUGCCAAGAUGUGGAAACAGGCAUAUGUGAAAGAUCUUUCACUGCUCCUUUUGCUAGGAUGCUGCUGAAAUGGUGAACAAGAGUAAGGAUUACCAGAACAGGAGAUGGAAGCUGGUGUCCUCACGUGAGAUUACUGCUGCCCUUGUAAAACUGCUCAUGGCAGCAUUUCCAGAGCCAGAACACACCUCCCCCGCCCUCAGCAUCUACAUUCUGCCUCCAGCAGUACAUCAGGCAGUUUUAGAAGAAAUACAAGCACUUUCCUCGGGUAAUCUCAUACGGCUGCUGUCUGUUGUAGAAGUACUCUGUGUCAGCUCAUAGACCAUCCCAUUGUCCCAGCAGUGGCUUUGCUCACCAGCUGCAGACCCUGGCAUAGUUUUGUGACAACGCCACCAAGCAUGUUCAGUGCCUGUGCUGCGAACCUGGGGUGCUUGUGUUGUGCUGUGUUGAUAUAAAAUUGUGGCAAACAAUUCUUUCCUGAACUCAGACCCAGGGUAUUCGUAACUCCGAACUGGGCAGCUGAUGGCUUCCGUGCUGCAGAGCAAAGUGGGUUGGGCAGGGAACAGUGGGCAGCAAAGGAGCUGCACACUCUGUCCUCUCACAACACCAGUGUGGGCCCAUGUGGCAGGACCCAUGGACAUACCAGUCAGCCCCAGAGGAAGCACAGUAUGGACCAGAGGUGAUAAGUGCUCAGUGAAACUGGAUGCCAUGCUAAAGAUUUUAUCGUCAAUAAAGUUUUAGGUUUUAGGCUGACUUUUUCUGUGAUAUAGGCUGCUGCAAAAUUGGUGAAUUUCUAUUGUAGUAAAUUCAGAGUGUCCUCAGUCUGGCUGAUGGACCUACAUCUCUUGACCCUGAGUAAUUUGUAACUACUUGUCCCUAGUAGUUUGUAACUAAUUUUAACAAUAUUUACAUUAUCUUUAGGGAGAAAUACAGAAUCAAAAGGGAAAUCUUUAAGGAAUGCAUGUAGGGAUAUGACUGAAGUGGAAAGCAAACUGUUUCUUUGUUCGAUAUUUCAUACAUUGUGCUUUCAUUUAUUCUAUACCGUUUUUCCAUCUCUUUCUUACAAGGCAUUUCCAGCUUCCUUUUCCACUGUCACUCCUCUGUUUCUUUCCCUUGUGCCUUCUUUUGCCUCAGUUUCCACUGAGUUUGUGGAAACUCUGUUUGGGCUUUUUUUGUUUGUUUGGGUUUGUUUUUUGUUUUUUAUCUCUUUAUGUCUUCAGGCUUAUUCUGCAAGGGUCAGUGAUCAGCUUUGGGCUCACUUUUCCAGGUCUAUCCUUAGCAACUACAGGCCUGUUGUCAGAGAAGGAAAGCUUGCCUGGUGUGCUAUGUAAUGGAAAGCAUAGGAACUUCCCCGCUCUUCACAUCCAGCUCUGCAGCCCAGCUGUUGUAUGUUAGGGUUUCAGAUUAAGCAAAAAGUAUCUUGUUUUGACUCCCUGCCGUGUUUUGUGAAAUCAAAGGUACUGCCACAAACCUGAUGCAACUUGUUUGUUUAUUACACAGGUGUGAAUGACCAGAGCAUGUAGAUGAUAAUUAUCAGGUAUGAGAUUUUGAACCCAUAUUUGUUAGGUAAGUCAUAACAGUAGCUAAUUCUUGUCCAGAAUAAAUCCCAGUUUCUCUACACAGCAAUGUCAAAAGACAGACUAGGAAGAGGGGUAAGCAUGAGGGGACGGUGCCAAUGAUGUAUGAGUGUGGUGGGGUUCCUUCCAUGUUUUGAGUGCUGUUCAUUUAAAAGGAAACAAAUGUGUGAAGAGGGGAAGGAGAAUGCUGAAGGAAGGACUGAGGCAGAGGGAGAGGUUAAGGGAAGGCCAUGAGAUGUGGAGGAGAGGAGUGAAUUUGAGGUGAAA